rnacentral:sRNA from 1 species
UGAGGUGGGCGGAUCACCUGAGGUCAGGAGUUCAAGACCAGCCUGGCCAACAUGGUGAAACUCCAUCUCCACUAAAAAUACAAAAAAAUUAGGCCGGAAGCAGUGGCUCACGCCUGUAAUCCCAACAUUUUGGGAGGCCGAGGCCACCACGACCAGCUAAUUUUUGCAUUUUCAGCAGAGACAGGGUUUCACCAUGUUGGUCAGGCUGGUCUCAAACUCCUGACCCCAGGUGAUCCACCUGCCCCGACCUCCCAAAGUGCUGCGAUUACAAGCAUGAGCCACCGCACUCGGC